rnacentral:rRNA from 1 species
CUACGGGCCGCAGCAGUGGGGAAUAUUGCACAAUGGGCGCAAGCCUGAUGCAGCAACGCCGCGUGAGGGAUGAAGGCCUUCGGGUUGUAAACCUCUUUUAGCAGGGAAGAAGCGAAAGUGACGGUACCUGCAGAAAAAGCACCGGCUAACUACGUGCCAGCAGCCGCGGUAAUACGUAGGGUGCAAGCGUUGUCCGGAAUUAUUGGGCGUAAAGAGCUCGUAGGCGGUUUGUCACGUCUGCUGUGAAAAUCCAAGGCUCAACCUUGGACUUGCAGUGGGUACGGGCAGGCUAGAGUGCGGUAGGGGAGAUGGGAAUUCCUGGUGUAGCGGUGGAAUGCGCAGAUAUCAGGAGGAACACCAAUGGCGAAGGCACAUCUCUGGGCCGUAACUGACGCUGAGGAGCGAAAGCGUGGGGAGCGAACAGGAUUAGAUACCCUAGUAGUC